rnacentral:rRNA from 1 species
CCAACGCCCUUCGGGGCUCCUUGGUGAAUCAUAAUAACUUAACGAAUCGCAUGGCCUUGCGCCGGCGAUGGUUCAUUCAAAUUUCUGCCCUAUCAACUUUCGAUGGUAGGAUAGUGGCCUACCAUGGUGGCAACGGGUAACGGGGAAUUAGGGUUCGAUUCCGGAGAGGGAGCCUGAGAAACGGCUACCACAUCCAAGGAAGGCAGCAGGCGCGCAAAUUACCCAAUCCCGAUACGGGGAGGUAGUGACAAUAAAUACUGAUACGGGGCUCUUUUGGGUCUCGUAAUUGGAAUGAGAACAAUUUAAAUCCCUUAACGAGGAACAAUUGGAGGGCAAGUCUGGUGCCAGCAGCCGCGGUAAUUCCAGCUCCAAUAGCGUAUAUUAAAGUUGUUGCAGUUAAAAAGCUCGUAGUUGAACCUUGGGUCUGGCUGGCCGGUCCGCCUCACCGCGAGUACUGGUCCGGCUGGACCUUUCCUUCUGGGGAACCUCAUGGCCUUCACUGGCUGUGGGGGGAACCAGGACUUUUACUGUGAAAAAAUUAGAGUGUUCAAAGCAGGCCUUUGCUCGAAUACAUUAGCAUGGAAUAAUAGAAUAGGACGUGUGGUUCUAUUUUGUUGGUUUCUAGGACCGCCGUAAUGAUUAAUAGGGAUAGU